UACAGAGGUCUCAAGCGUUGUUCGGAUUCAUUGGGCGUAAAGGGCGCGUAGGCGGCAAUUCAAGUCAUCUGUGAAAUCUCCGGGCUUAACUCGGAAUGGUCAGGUGAUACUGCUUUGCUAGAGUGCAGAAGGGGCAAUCGGAAUUCUUGGUGUAGCGGUGAAAUGCGUAGAUAUCAAGAGGAACACCUGAGGUGAAGACGGGUUGCUGGGCUGACACUGACGUGGAGGCGCGAAAGCUAGGGGAGCAAACGGG
rnacentral:rRNA from 1 species